rnacentral:rRNA from 1 species
CCCUUAGAUGUUCUGGGCCGCACGCGCGCUACACUGAUGCAUUCAACGAGUUUCUUCCUGGUCCGAGAGGAAUGGGUAACCUUUUGAAAGUGCAUCGUGAUAGGGAUAGACUAUUGCAAUUAUUGGUCUUCAACGAGGAACUCCUAGUAGACGUAGUUCAUCAGACUGCAUCGAUUACGUCCCUGCCCUUUGUACACACCGCCCGUCGCUCCUACCGAUUGAAUGCUCAGGUGAGCCAUUCGGACUUUCAUCAUGCUGGUUUCCAGUUUUGAUGAAGGGAAGUCUUGCGAACCUUAUCAUUUAGAGGAAGGAGAAGUCGUAACA